CAGGCGAGUCCCGCGCUUUCUCGAGGGAGGGCAGCGGGGCAAAUGGGACCACGUGCCCUUAGGGAAGCGGCCAUUCCUAACUCCCAGCCACUCCGGCAGCGGUGGGGCCCUAAGGACUUGUUCAAGGGGGACCAGGACUAGAAGACUGGCUGUCCAGCCCCAGGCAGCAGUGCCUCCUGGAGAUAAACACAGGGCUGUGCAUACCCUCCAAGAGGACACAGCCAGCCUGGGAGGAGUCAGAGGUGGCUUCUAGAGAAAGUGCUAUCGCAAGGACUCCCACUUCAUGGAGAGUUGGCCCACGUGACCCUAAGGAUCCUUGCAGUGCUGCCUGCUGGCUCCUGGUGGCUGCAGCUCCUGCUCCUGUGGUUGUCCCAGUGGACCGAAGUGGCUUGGGAGAUGCGGCAGAGCCAGGCCUUGGAAAAGGCAAGUUUCCAGUCUGGAAAGCAGAGUGGGCCGGCUGGGAAGGGGCUUCUGGGAAGGAGGGUUGUGGGAGGCCCUCCACCCCUACUGCUCUGCCUGGGCUGGGGGAAGGGCCUUUAUUCCUUCCGCUCUUGGAGGCAGGGGCCACCUGGGGCAUGGGAGGAGGGGUGGCUUAAGACUGCCAGUUUCCACUUGGAAGCCCUCUUUAUUUGGCCAGGGAUGGAGAAAGGCUGGGGUCAGAGUGCAUGCAUCCCCAUGGAAACAGCAAUGAGCCUGGCCCCUCAGGGACCCUGGCCCUGGCAGGGGAUGGGGCUCCUUCAGCUAAGGGGUCUGGGCCUUGCCUUUGGCAGGAGCUCUUACAGGAAGGUCAAGCCAUGAGCUGCAGUACCUGUGGCAAGGAGGAGCAGGGAGGCAGAGCGUCCUUGGGCCAAAGCCGCCCUGGGGACAAGGAGGGGAGCUUGUAUUGUGCCUUCCAGAGCUGUAUGCCCAGAGUGGGUGGUUAAUGCGACCCACUGUAAGACCUUGCGACCAGGGGACUCCCCAUGAAUCUUGAUCUUUUGUUCUGUUGUUGUGGGGCUUGGCCCAGGUCCAGCAACCAGGCCUGGAGUCCUCUGGUCCUAAAGGCCUUGCCCAGCUUGGCUUUGGCCUGAGAGCUGGGGGAGGGGUGUGCUGCUGUGGGAGCUGAGACGGAGGGCAGCUGAACCCCUCAAAAGGCCAGAGCAGGGUAGCCAUCCAUCAUCUGUAAUCACCUGCCUUUGAGUC